rnacentral:rRNA from 1 species
GAUGAACGCUGGCGGCGUGCCUAAUACAUGCAAGUCGAGCGAACAGACGAGGAGCUUGCUCCUCUGACGUUAGCGGCGGACGGGUGAGUAACACGUGGAUAACCUACCUAUAAGACUGGGAUAACUUCGGGAAACCGGAGCUAAUACCGGAUAAUAUAUUGAACCGCAUGGUUCAAUAGUGAAAGACGGUUUUGCUGUCACUUAUAGAUGGAUCCGCGCCGCAUUAGCUAGUUGGUAAGGUAACGGCUUACCAAGGCAACGAUGCGUAGCCGACCUGAGAGGGUGAUCGGCCACACUGGAAGUGAGACACGGUCCAGACUCCUACGGGAGGCAGCAGUAGGGAAUCUUCCGCAAUGGGCGAAAGCCUGACGGAGCAACGCCGCGUGAGUGAUGAAGGUCUUCGGAUCGUAAAACUCUGUUAUUAGGAAAGAACAAAAGUGUAAGUAACUAUGCACGUCUUGACGGUACCUAAACAGAAAGCCACGGCUAACUACGUG